UACAGAGGGUGCGAGCGUUAAUCGGAAUUACUGGGCGUAAAGCGCGCGUAGGCGGCUGUUCAAGUCGAACGUGAAAACUCGGAGCUCAACUCCGAGCCUGCGUUCGAUACUGGACGGCUAGAGUCUGGUAGGGGGAUCUGGAAUUCCUGGUGUAGCGGUGGAAUGCGCAGAUAUCAGGAGGAACACCGGUGGCGAAAGCGGGAUCCUGGGCCAGUACUGACGCUGAGGAGCGAAAGCGUGGGGAGCAAACAGG
rnacentral:rRNA from 1 species